GGAGGGCUCAUACAUACCAGGUCCCACAAACCUUCUGGCUCCCCUCACUUCAGCUCACUCUGUCUUCACCAGGCAGACUUUGUCGAUCCACUGCCACAUGUCUGAAGGCAGGCACCAGUCCCAGAAGGUCCAGAGCAUCUACUGGGGCAGAGCGGGUGGAGGAGGAUUUGGUAGACCCUACUGGCCUUCCAGAGCAGGGGAGCAGUGUUAGACCAGAGAAGAUCUGAUUCUGUGCUGUUUCAACUUGGACUUGGAAAAAUGGGCUUUGAAGGCAUCUGAGGGAGUGUUCUUCCAAGGCAAGUGGACACCGCUGGUUAGUCACACCAAGAUGCUGGUGAGUGUUUGGCAAAGAUGCACAGAGAAGGUCUCUCCUUCUGGCCAAUGUACACCUAUUUCUGGAAAUAAUAGAGAACUACAAGGAAAUGAAAAUGUUAACAUGACAGCUCAGACUGGCAUAAAGGACUGCUUAGAUAAACAGCAUGAGGAAAGUUCAGCAAAGCUAAAUGAAGCUUGUCCUAUUGGGGUGUAGGAAUCAAUGGCAAACUCAAGGAUUCAGUUAUUUUUGAAGUAUCUUGACAAACUACGGAGGGUGCCAGAGGACUGAGGAAGAGCAAACACAGCGCCAGUCUUUUGUGGUGGGAGCAGGGAGGCAGCAGUGGUCUUGGCAAAUAUCACCCUUUCAGAGUAACUUCUGUUCCUGGCAACGUGAUGGAAUAAACAGAAAUGAGGGGGGAAAAGUAAGAAUGCAAAGGAUAAGAGAUCUGUGAGCAAUAGGCAGCAGUAUAUAUUUACAGAGAAUAAAUCACAUCUAAAUAAAUAUGAUUACUUUCUUUUGGCUUAAUUUACAAAAUUAGUGAAGAGAAUAACUCAAACAUAAUAUAGAUAUGGACUCUGGCAAAACUUUCGAUAUGCCGCUCUGUAAAACAUUACAUGAAAAAUGAACCGGUAUUGCCUUGAAUGUGAGUGCAGCUACAUCGGUUAAGAAAACCCCAAACGCCCUUCUGAAAAAAAAAAAACCAACCAAACCAAA